UCAACCAUAUCACUGAUGUUCAUGAGGGUCAUGGAAAGCGAUUCCCCAGGUGCUUACAUGGUGACCUGGAGGACAGAGAUUGGAUUAAGAAAGGUAGUCUAGCUUUCCAGGAGAUGGAAAAAGUUGGUAAGGGCAGACUGUUGGUGCAAGACAUUAAGAAACUCUCCCCUGCAGAGCAAACUUCAGCACUUGAAGCCUACCACAAUGUAGUGUGUCAUUUUGCACCCAAAUCUUUGCAUUUCUUUUAUGCUACAAUGAAGGCCAGACUAUACAUUGCAGCCCUGCACUUCAAUUAAAACUCCAGCCGGGAUCAAGCUGUAAACAAAAG